rnacentral:rRNA from 1 species
GAGAGUUAAACAGUACGUGAAAUUGUUGAAAGGGAAACGAUUGAAGUCAGUCAUACCAACGGGAAAUCAACCUCUUGAGUUUGAUCUCGUGGGUUUCGAAGAGUUUAAAAGCCUUCGGAUUUUCGAGAUUGGGCUCUUCUGGUGUACUUUCUCGUACGGUUAGUCAACAUCGGUUUUGAAUGUCAUAAAAUGACUGGAGGAAUGUGGCUUCGAUCUCGUAUUGAAGUGUUAUAGCCUUUGGUAGAUGUGAUGUUCGAGACCGAGGAUUGCAACGGAUAUCCUUCUGGGCUAUUCGUCUGAUCUCUGAAACGUUGCCUUGAUGUCGAAAGCUUGCUUAUGAUGUUAGGGUAUUACGGUCAAAAGGUUAGAACGGAUUAAAUUCGUUAAGGAUGUUGACGUAAUGACUUUAAACGA